rnacentral:sRNA from 1 species
CUUUGGACCAAUUAUUGAGUAUAUCGAGAGCAUCCUGUAAUCGAAAUUUCGAUGUUCCUACAUAUUCUUCUGUGCUAAUUAAGGCAAGGUCAUCUGCAUACAUGCUGCUUUUGACUUUUCUUGGAUGUGGAGCAUGAAGAAAUCAUGCUAGUGGAACAGCUGACACAAUUUAGAUCACCAAUAUGAAAAAGAGUGAGUUUUCACAGCAUGACAGUUUUUUCUUAGAAGACUUUUCUCAGUGUCAACUUUGUAUUGUGGCUUUCUUCAAUUGUCAUUCAUAAAGAUCAGUGAAUUUUG